AGCAACGCGGGAUCCUUCAACCAGUAUCCUUCCUUUUCCAAUCUGGCGUAAACCUCAGAGCCGGAAGUAACGCUCCAAUACCGUUCCCGCGAGGAUAUCUGAAGCACGAUGGUCUGUCGUCGAUGGCCGCUGCUGUAGCAAUCAUAUGCAUGAGUUCGGCUUCGUCAGCGGGUGCCAUGACCACCAUGUUUGGAAGGCAAGCCAUGUCGACGUCGUGAACCACCUGCAAACCAAGUUGUUAGAUGGCUGGUCCAUAAACUCGUCUGUAAGCACGCACCUGGUCGUAUCCUCUUUGGAGGAAUGAAGAGUAAAUUGCGCAGAAAGGCUUGAUUC